CCUACGGGGGACAGCAGUGAGGAAUAUUGGUCAAUGGACGAGAGUCUGAACCAGCCAAGUAGCGUGAAGGAUGACUGACCUAUGGGUUGUAAACUUCUUUUAUAUGGGAAUAAAACGUUCCAAGUGUGGGAUUUUGUAUGUACCAUCUGCAUAAGGAUAGGCUAACUCCGUGUCAGCAGCCGCGGUAAUACGGAGGAUCCGAGCGUUAUCCGGAUUUAUGGGGUUUAAAGGGUGCGUAGGCGGAAUGCCAAGUCAGCGGUAAAAACGCGGGGUUCAACCUCUCUCCGCCGUUGAAACUGGCGUGCUUGAGUGGGCUAGAAGUAGGCGGAAUGCGUGGUGUAGCGGUGAAAUGCAUAGAUAUCACGCAGAACUCCGAUUGCGAGGGCAACAUACCGGCGCCCAACUGACGCUGAAGCACGAAAGCGUGGGUAUCGAACAGGAUUAGAUACCCUUGUAGUC
rnacentral:rRNA from 1 species